UACAGAGGUGGCAAGCGUUGUUCGGAAUUACUGGGCGUAAAGGGCGAGUAGGUGGCCAUCUAAGUCAGACGUGAAAUCCCCCGGCUUAACCUGGGAACUGCGUCUGAUACUGGACGGCUUGAGUAUGGGAGAGGGAAGUGGAAUUCCCGGUGUAGUGGUGAAAUGCGUAGAUAUCGGGAGGAACACCAGUGGCGAAGGCGACUUCCUGGCCUGUUCUUGACGCUGAGGCGCGAAAGCUAGGGUAGCAAACGGG
rnacentral:rRNA from 1 species